rnacentral:rRNA from 1 species
GACGUAGGGCGCGAGCGUUGUCCGGAUUUAUUGGGCGUAAAGAGCUCGUAGGCGGCUUGUCGCGUCGAAUGUGAAAACUCGGGGCUCAACUCCGAGCUUGCAUUCGAUACGGGCAGGCUAGAGUUCGGUAGGGGAGACUGGAAUUCCUGGUGUAGCGGUGAAAUGCGCAGAUAUCAGGAGGAACACCGGUGGCGAAGGCGGGUCUCUGGGCCGAUACUGACGCUGAGGAGCGAAAGUGUGGGGAGCGAACAGG